AUGCGAAUUAUUGGACAUUUAGAGGCAAACAGACGCACAGUGCAAACUUCGGAGAUGGUAACAUCCACGAAGAAGACCCCGACAAAGAGAAAGUGUGCCCGAACGACUUAUUUCAUUGGAGGCAACGAGAUCUGCAAGAAUACUUUUCUGUUUCUUAUGGGAGUCAGCUUCCUCGUCUUCAUCCUGGUUUGUGUGUCAUCAUCGAAUGCAAGACUUAGAAUGCAGAAGCAUGGAUAUAACUGAUAAGAGACAUUCCCUGCUUUUAAUAUCUAAAGAAUUAAUGCAACAGGACACAGCUGAACACUUGAGAAGACCUGUGAGGCAACUGUUCCAAUACUUAUGCUCACAUCAUAUAGGGAGAUGAAACUCUAAAAGUGCUGAUCUUCUUAGAUGGUAAAACAUCUUUGUUAAUUCACCCAAUAAUAAAAUGUGACAUUCUGUAGUUUUGUCUCAUAUUCAUCUUUUAAUCAUAUUUACAGAUUUCUUGACUCCACAACAAACAGAACAACUUUGUCUUUACUGUUCCAAUACUUAUGGAGGGCACUGUAUGUAAAAAUGAACAUAAUUUCAUAUAGAUCAUAUGCACUGACCUUAUUUAACCCUAUGUAAAAAUCAUUGCUCCUGUUUAUACUGUGCCAAAGUGUUAAUCUCAUAGAUUUCCAGGCCAAGUGAAUUUUGAAUGCAACGUCCAAAAAAAAACCAAAAAAAAAAACCGUUGUUGAACAAUUACUAAUGGUACUUCUUGAAAAAUGUCCAUAUAGUUUAACAAGUCUUUUUGUGUCUUCUAUGUUUUUUUUCCCUUACUGAAGGCCAAUAAGAGACAGCCAAGUGAGCCAGGAUUAUUUUAUUUAUUUAUUUAUUUAUUUAUCUAUUUAUUUUUUUUAAGUGUGACAUGAUGCUCCUGACUCCUUUGUUCUGGUUACAUUUUCCAAACAUGAUGACAAAACACUGACCACAGAUGAGAACUGUCAUCCUUUUCUGUGUUGUUUAGUCUCUCUCACUUCCCUCACAGUGGUCAUGUCACUGAAGUGCUCAUCAUUCCUGUAAACAUAACUGAUUGUGAUGAGGGGAGGAAAUUACUGCAACUGCUGUCAUAGAGGCUGAGAACCGUAAAAAUAGAAAAUGAUUUUACAUAAAAUACAGUGCAAUCAGUUCGGACAUCGCACAGUGUUCAUUCAAUAAAUGCACAUUUAAACAGAUGGCUAAUGUUUUAGCACAUCUGAUCUCUUCUGGAAGCUGAUUCCAACUGUGGGCUGCAUAAUAACUAAAAGCGGACUCCCAUUGUUUUGUGUGAACCCUUGGUAUUUCUAACUGACUCAAUCGUAAUGAUCUGAGUGGUCGGUUUAUAUUCAGUGAGCAUAUCUGCAAUGUAUUUUGGUCCUGGGUCAUUGAGUGAUUUACAAACAAGUAAAAGUACUUUAAAAUCAAUCCUAAAUGUAACUGAAAGCCAGUGUAAGGACCUGAGGACUGGUGUGAUAUGCUCAGAUUUUCUGGUUCUGGUCAGAAUUCUGGCAGCAGCGUUCUGGAUGAGCUGCAGCUGUGUAAUGGUCUUCUUGGGAAGGCCGGUGAGGAGACCAUUACAAUAGUCCACCCUGCUGGUGAUAAAGGCAUGAACAAGUUUCUCCAAGUCUUGACUGGAAACAAAACAUCUAAUUCUUGCAAUGUUUUUAGAUGAUAGUAUGCUGAUUUAGUUACUGCUUUGACAUGACUACUGAAACUAUGGUCUGUCUCCAGAAUCACACCAAGAUUCCUGACUUGAUUUGUUGGUGUUUGACCCCUAGAGUCAAGGUACUGUAUGUAUUCACCUUGAAAACUUCAUCUUUGUUUCCAAAUGCAAUGACUUUAGUUUUUUCCUUGUUUAACUGAAGAAAGUUUCGGCACAUCCAACUGUUAAUUUCAUCAGUGCAUUGGAAGAGGGAGUCAAUGGGGCUGUAAUCAUUUGGCAAUAAGGCUAGGUAAAUCUGGGUAUCAUCAGCAUAGCUGUGAUAGGCAAUUUGGUUCUUUCUCAUUAUUUGACUUAGUGGGAGCAUAUACAGGCUAAACAAGAGCAGUGCAAGAAUUGAGCCUUGUGGGACUCUGCAUGUCAUGGACGUCCACUUAGACUUAUGCUCUCCUAUACUCACAUAAUAACCUCUCCCUUCUAAGUAUGACCUGAACUGCUUGAGUACCAUCCCAGAAAGCCCGACCCAGUUUUCCAGUCUCUGUAGAAGUAUGUUAUGAUCGACAUUGUCAAACGCAGCACUGAGAUCUAGUAAUACCAGGA
ensembl:lncRNA